AGUGAACGCUGGCGGUAGGCCUAACACAUGCAAGUCGAACGGCAGCACAGUAAGAGCUUGCUCUUACGGGUGGCGAGUGGCGGACGGGUGAGGAAUACAUCGGAAUCUACUUUUUCGUGGGGGAUAACGUAGGGAAACUUACGCUAAUACCGCAUACGACCUACGGGUGAAAGCAGGGGAUCUUCGGACCUUGCGCGAUUGAAUGAGCCGAUGUCGGAUUAGCUAGUUGGCGGGGUAAAGGCCCACCAAGGCGACGAUACGUAGCUGGUCUGAGAGGAUGAUCAGCCACACUGGAACUGAGACACGGUCCAGACUCCUACGGGAGGCAGCAGUGGGGAAUAUUGGACAAUGGGCGAAAGCCUGAUCCAGCCAUACCGCGUGGGUGAAGAAGGCCUUCGGGUUGUAAAGCCCUGUUGUUGGGAAAGAAAAGCAGCAGGUUAAUACCCCGCUGUUCUGACGGUACCCAAAGAAUAAGCACCGGCUAACUUCGUG
rnacentral:rRNA from 1 species